CAGCCGCCACGGUAAUACAGAGGGUGCGAGCGUUAAUCGGAUUUACUGGGCGUAAAGCGUGCGUAGGCGGCUUUUUAAGUCGGAUGUGAAAUCCCUGAGCUUAACUUAGGAAUUGCAUUCGAUACUGGGAAGCUAGAGUAUGGGAGAGGAUGGUAGAAUUCCAGGUGUAGCGGUGAAAUGCGUAGAGAUCUGGAGGAAUACCGAUGGCGAAGGCAGCCAUCUGGCCUAAUACUGACGCUGAGGUACGAAAGCAUAGGGAGCAAACAGGAUUAGAUACCCCCGUAGUCCCUGUCUCUUAUAC
rnacentral:rRNA from 1 species